rnacentral:lncRNA from 7 species
AAAUGAUUUCUAGUGUUAAAAUAAUUCCAUAAUCUUAUUUAAUUCAUAGAAAAUCCAUCUCAAGUCCGAAUUGACCCAUUCCAAUUUUUAUAAUUUUAUUAUAUUAUUGUUUAUCAUCUAAUGUCUCUGUUUUGACAUGAAAACAAUAAUAAAAUUGAUCUCCCAAAUAAUUUCAUAUCAAACACAUAAAACCUUCAGAAAUUCAUAACUCACAAUCUGUAACUCCGAUUUGAUCCGUUUAAGUUGCGUUAGUCUCGUAUGAAUAUUUACUAUGCAAUAACAACAUUUAUUAUACCAUGUUUUAUUCUUUUAUAUUAGAUCUGUAUUUAACUUAUGUUGCCUAGUCUUGUUAAUCUCCAUAUCAUUAGAAUAUACUAGAAUAUACUAGAAUAUAAUCUAUGGUCCAUUUAUAACUUAGAUCAAAGUGAGUUAAUUAUUUAUAAGAUAUUCUCUCAUAUGAUUUAUACUAAUCAAUUUAUAAUAUAGUUGAAUAUUUUAAUCACAUAUAUCUUCUAUAAAAGCAUAACUCCUUAAUCGUAACUCCGAUCUUAGUAGUUCUCGAUCCCACGAUCUCGUAGCUACGCGUAGAUUAUUAUUAUAUAGUAUGUUCUUAUGUUUGGUGUGAUGUUAAUUUUGUCUAUACCAUGUCUGUUUGUAUUGCUACGACUAGCAGUGAGGUCGUGAGUCAUCUGAGGAUCAUCCUGGUAACUGGAAUCUCAAGUCCCAGGCAAGUUGUGCCCUUGAUCACUUCUUUUACCCACUCAUGUUCUGAUUAAUCAUAAUGAUCUGCAUAGGUUAAUUUUGAUGGGACCUAGUAGGUUACCCUAGUUUGUCUAUCUUUAUACCUUGUUUACCACUAAACUUUUUGGGUAGUACUUGCUAGUGCUUUAUGUGGUUUUGGGUAUGAAGAUACAUUAUUCAUGAUCACACUUUUAUUAUCUGUUUAUUAUUACUGUUCAUGAUAAGAUCAUUAUGUUAAUUGGAACAUGGAGCGACCACCCGGGAAAACAGUGCUACCACAAGGGUUUAUGGGACGCCCUUGGCUGAUUAAUUAGGAAAGCUAGUGGAGGACUACCUUACCCGAAAGGGGCAAGGGCAGUAGGGGAGUGGUCAGUGUAGGGAGGUCCUUGGUUGAUUUUGCUGCGAUGGCGGUCAGGCAAGAACCCUGCAUUGGAGCUUCCUAUAAACUGUAGUGGGUUUUCUAAAGCUAGUGGAACUUUGUAAAGGCCUCGUAGUGUUACCCUGCCUCGCCUCCUCGGUAGAGGUGUAUGGGAAGUCGCGAUCCCUUGGCAGAUGGGUAACAUGACUUGUGGGUAAAGAUGCGCAACCUCUGCAGAGUGUAAAACUGGUAUAUUAGCCGUGCUCACGGUCAUGAGCAGCUCGGACCCUCACAUGAUUAAUUUAUGGAACUUAAAUUCAAUUUGUCAUAUGCAUUGCAUCGCAGGUGAUGUUGUUACUUCUGUUCUACUAUUUAAUCGGGUUGGUAUUUACUUAUACUUAGUAAUUGCUAAUAAAAUUUUGACCAACUUUAAAAGCAAUGCUCAGCUCUAACUAUCCUCUUUGGUAAGCCUUACACUUCACGUGAGCUCCCAUCUUUGGCGAGUUCAUGCAUAUUAUUCCCCACAACUUGUUGAGCGAUGAACGUAUGUGAGCUCACUCUUGCUGUCUCACACCCUCCACAGGUCAAGAACAGGUACCGCAGGAUGAGGCGCAUGAAGGAUGCUGUGAUGUGUUCGUGAGAGAUCUAGGUCGUCGUCUCCCAGUCAACUUUGGGUUGCUGGACCGUUGUCUCCUUAUAAUGUAAUUAUUUAUUUAUUUAUUUUGUACAGAACUCCUAUUAUAUAAUAAAGAUGUGACAUUCG